rnacentral:piRNA from 1 species
GCUAACUUACGUUUUACCUUCCUGUUGGG